AGGCACUCUGUCAUUUACAUAGUCAAACCCCUACACUAUAAGAGUUGACAUUUUUAAGUUAAACCAACUUAGUUAAAAAAUAAUUUUUAUUACUGUAUACCUACAAACAUUAAUUCUAUGUAUAAAUUAUUAAUUUUUCCUAGCAUGUUCCGAAGACAUACGAUCUGCGAAAAAAAAAAAGAAUAAAUGUAGCAUCCAGAACACAUACCAAGACUGCAAAAGCAUUUAAACCUUAAGAUUUAGAUGUAUAUCUUUUGGAUAAAAAUUCUGAGACUACCCCUUCACCUGCACACGAACUCAAGCUUGUUCAAGCAGGGCAUGGCACAUGUUAGUGUAUGUUAGUGUGUGUGUCUUUUUGUACAACUGGAAAAAGUAAAUUUAUAGUAGAAUCAUAAGCACAGGAAUUAAAAUGUUAAUUUUAUCUUCGUUUAUGGGGGUGUGCAGUGUAAGACGGCUAAAUGUUAUUCCUCCAGACUCAGAAGUUUACGCUGGAUCCCAGAUCAAAUCUGCCUCUGCAUCUGGAAAGACAAUGCUGUAUGUAGUUCCUCUACAAGAGGUAUGUUUAUACCAGCAGAUUGCUAAUCACAAAGUACUUUGUAUGAUACAAUUUUAAUUUAUUUGUUUUUGGAGCAGACAGAAGUUCAGUCCGUCUCAAAAAAAACAAUUUGGAUGGGGUGAAACAAGAAAAUGUUCCAUCUAAGGUAAUGUGGCAUUAAAAUUCUCCAGCCCUAAUCAAAAUUUUCUCUAAUCCAUGGUGCUGUUAUAUCAUUUAACAUGUUUUUGUUUGUAGUCUGUUUUACCAUGCCCAAUAUGUCAGCUGAAGUUUCCUGUGAACAGUCUUGAACUACAUGCCAGCCUGUGUGGAGAACAAAAUCUAUUGGAGUCUCCAGAUCACAGCACUUUUAUGCACAAUGAUGAUUCUUGUUUUGCUGAUGAUACAACAGGCAAUUCAAUCUCUCGACAAGUAUUAUGUCUAGAAGAUCUUCUGGAACUGCUUGCUGGCCGAGUAAAUGCAGAAAAUCAGUUCCACAUUUGUGUUUCAUGGGACAAUCUCCUAGAAAGGAGGCUCAAGCAGUGGAAAAGACAGAAAAAAGGAAAUCCAGCCAACCAGCUAAAGAUAACCUUUAUUGGCGAAGCUGGAGUCGACUCUGGUGCUUAACGAAAGGAGUUUCUUACAGGCAAGUUAAGAAUAAUAAAAGUGGAAAAGCUGUAACAAAAAUAAAUAAAAUGUAUCUGUGUAAUUCACACAAUGCUUUUUCUCAAUGUUAUUCGAAGAAAUGAUAAGUGGCAUUGAAAAAUGCCUCUUCUUG
ensembl:lncRNA